GAUGAACGCUGGCGGCGUGCCUAAUACAUGCAAGUCGAGCGAACGGACGAGAAGCUUGCUUCUCUGAUGUUAGCGGCGGACGGGUGAGUAACACGUGGAUACCCUACCUAUAAGACUGGGAUAACUUCGGGAAACCGGAGCUAAUACCGGAUAAUAUUUUGAACCGCAUGGUUCAAAAGUGAAAGACGGUCUUGCUGUCACUUAUAGCUGGAUCCGCGCUGCAUUAGCUAGUUGGGAAGGUAACGGCUUACCAAGGCAACGAUGCAUAGCCGACCUGAGAGGGUGAUCGCCCACACGAGAAGUGGGACACGGUCCAGACUCCUACGAGAGGCAGCAGUAGGGAAUCUGCCGCAAUGGGCGAGAGCCUGACGGAGCAGCGCCGCGUGAGUUAUGAAGGUCUUCGGAGCGUAAAGCUCUGUUAUUAGGGAAGAACAUAUGUGUACGUAACUGUGCACAUCUUGACGGUACCUAAUCAGAAAGCCACGGCUAACUACGUG
rnacentral:rRNA from 1 species